rnacentral:rRNA from 1 species
UCACGAUACUAAGAGCGUAUGGGGGAUGCCUAGGCUCUCAGAGGCGAUGAAAGACGUGUCAAGCUGCGAAAAGCUACGGGGAGCUGCUGAAAGGCUUAGAUCCGUAGAUAUCUGAAUGGGGCAACCCACCCUUCGGGGUAUCCGUGAGGAGGCAAACCCGCUGAACUGAAACAUCUAAGUAGGCGGAGGAAGAGAAAACAAAAGUGAUUUCGUAAGUAGUGGCGAGCGAACGCGAAGAAGCCCAAACCGAAGACGUUGAGGCGUUUUCGGGGUUGUAGGACUGAAUUUAGCAAACAAUAGCGAACUAGAACGGCAUGGGAAGGCCGGGCGCAGAGGGUGAGACCCCCGUAUAGGCAGUGAUUUGUUGUGAUCAGUAUCCUGAGUACCGCGGGACCGGAGAAAUCCUGUGGGAAACUGCCAGCACCAUCUGGUAAGGCUAAAUACUCCUGAGAGACCAAUAGCGAACUAGUACCGUGAGGGAAAGGUGAAAAGAACCUUGAGUAAAGGAGUGAAAAGAACCUGAAACCAUACGUUUACAAGCGGUCGGAGUGGACAAGUUCCACGACGGCGUGCCUUUUGCAUAAUGAGCCUACGAGUUGCACCUCUUUGGCAAGGUUAAUUCCAUGGAUGGAAGGAGCCGAAGCGAAAGCGAGUCUGAAUAGGGCGUAGAGUCAGAGGGGGCAGACGCGAAACUUUGUGAUCUACCCUUGGCCAGGUUGAAAGUGUGGUAACACACACUGGAGGACCGCACCAAUAAGCGUUGAAAAGCUUCUGGAUGAGCUGAGGGUAGGGGUGAAAGGCCAAUCAAACUGAGAGAUAGCUCGUACUCCCCGAAAUGUUUUUAGGAACAGCCUCGAGGUAGAGUGUCGCAGAGGUAGAGCUACUGAUAGGGCUAGGGGGCUUCACCGCCUACCAAACCCUGACAAACUCCGAAUGCUGACGACAUAUACUCGGGAGUGAGCCGCAGGGUGCUAAGGUCCUGUGGCGAGAGGGAAAGAACCCAGACCAACAGCUAAGGUCCCAAAAUCACAGUUAAGUUGAACUAACGAGGUCCAACUGCAUAGACAGCUAGGAUGUUUGCUUGGAAGCAGCAAUUCAUUUAAAGAGUGCGUAACAGCUCACUAGUCGAGCGGUAGGGCGUGGAUAAUAAACGGGCAUAAAACUGUGUACCGAAGCUUUGGAUUCCUACGGGAGUGGUAGGGGAGCAUUCUGCAUGCGGUGAAGGACAAGGCGUGAGCCACUCUGGAGCGUGUAGAAAAGCAAAUGUAGGCAUGAGUAACGAUAAGACAGGCGAGAAACCUGUCCACCGCAAGACUAAGGUUUCCUGGACGAUGCUAAUCAGGCCAGGGUUAGUCGGGACCUAAGGAUAAUCCGAAGGGAGAGAUCUGAUGGACAACGGGUUAAUAAUCCCGUACCGCAUCAACUGCGAAGGAGGGACGAAGGAGUGAAAGCUACGCGAACUGACGGAAUAGUUCGUUUAAGUGCAAAGGUAAAGGCUGGGGAGGCAAAUCCCCCCGGACUGCUGAAGCAUGAAAGUACCGCGAGUUUACGGACGAGUGGAUAGUUAGCCUAAUCAGACUUCCGAGAAAAACUUCUAAGCUUCAGGUUGAUGUGCCCGUACCGCAAACCGACACAGGUAGUCGAGGAGAGUAUCCUAAGGUGCUCGAGUGAAUCAUGGCUAAGGAACUCGGCAAAUUCGUCCUGUAACUUCGGGAGAAAGGACCCCUACGCAAGUAGGGCGCAGUGAAUAGGCUCAAGCAACUGUUUAACAAAAACACAUGGCUAUGCUAAAUCGAAAGAUGAUGUAUAUGGCCUGACACCUGCCCGGUGCUGGAAGGUUAAAAGGAGAUGUUAUGCGCAAGCAGAAGCAUUGAAUUGAAGCCCCAGUAAACGGCGGCCGUAACAAUAACGGUCCUAAGGUAGUGAAAUUCCUUGUUGGGUAAGCUCCGACCUGCACGAAUGGUGUAAUGAUUUGAGCACUGUCUCAGCCAUGAGCUCGGUGAAAUUGUAGUAGCGGUGAAGAUGCCGCUUACCCGCAACGGGACGGAAAGACCCCGUGCACCUUUACUAUAGCUUCGCAUUGACUUUGGGUAAUUGAUGUGUAGGAUAGGUGGGAGACUUUGAAGCGGUGGCGCCAGCCAUCGUGGAGUCAACCUUGAAAUACCACCCUUUAAUUAUUUGAAGUCUAAUCCCGCUGAGCGGGAGACAUUGCGUGGUGGGUAGUUUGACUGGGGUGGUCGCCUCCAAAAAAGUAUCGGAGGCUUUCAAAGGUACCCUCAACACGCUUGGUAACCGUGUGUAGAGUGCAAUAGCAUAAGGGUGCUUGACUGUGAGACCGACAAGUCGAGCAGGGUCGAAAGACGGAUAUAGUGAUCCGGUGGUUCCGCAUGGAAGGGCCAUCGCUCAUAGGAUAAAAGGUACGCCGGGGAUAACAGGCUGAUCACUCCCAAGAGCUCACAUCGACGGAGUGGUUUGGCACCUCGAUGUCGGCUCGUCACAUCCUGGGGCUGGAGAAGGUCCCAAGGGUUCGGCUGUUCGCCGAUUAAAGUGGC